rfam:Gossypium hirsutum cultivar TM-1 unplaced genomic scaffold scaffold783.1, whole genome shotgun sequence
UAUUAAAAAUUUUAUCCAUUUAUACUGUUAAAAACUAGUGUGGCUAACGAAAUAAUCAAACAGUAACACUUGUGCCAUGUGUACCUCGUAUGUUGACGUACAUAAACUAGUUUUUAACCGUAGAAAUGGAUUGAAUUUUUAACA